UGGGGAUUCUCUCUGUGGUGGACGGGUCCACUGGUUGUCACUAACACAUAUAUCAUGUGUCCACCAUGACAGUAUCAUACAGAACAGUCUCACUGUCCUAAAAGUGCUGUGCGGACCUCAGUUUUACCAUCUGUAAAAUGAGUGUGAA